rnacentral:rRNA from 1 species
GGGGAAUAUUGCACAAUGGGCGAAAGCCUGAUGUAGCGACGCCGCGUGAGGGAUGAAGGCCUUCGGGUUGUAAACCUCUUUCGGUAGGGAAGAAGCGCAAGUGACGGUACCUACAGAAGAAGCACCGGCUAACUACGUGCCAGCAGCCGCGGUAAUACGUAGGGUGCGAGCGUUGUCCGGAAUUAUUGGGCGUAAAGAGCUUGUAGGCGGUUUGUCGCGUCUGCCGUGAAAAUCCGGGGCUCAACUCCGGACUUGCGGUGGGUACGGGCAGACUAGAGUGUGGUAGGGGAGACUGGAAUUCCUGGUGUAGCGGUGAAAUGCGCAGAUAUCAGGAGGAACACCGAUGGCGAAGGCAGGUCUCUGGGCAGUAACUGACGCUGAGGAGCGAAAGCGUGGGGAGCGAAC